AAGAGGAGGAGGAGGGGGAGAGAGGGAGAAAUGUCACCCGGAGUCCCGGCCCGUGGGGGAAAGGUGGCGCGUUAGAGAUGUGUGGGGGAAAGAGAGAGAGGGAGAGGGAAAGAGAGAGAGACCGCUGCCGGCCCCGCGGACUUGUCAAGCCAACUGACAGAGUUGAAAACGGCAAGCUUUUGGCCUCAAAAAGCUUAGACCAUCAUGGCUACAGAAACUGCUGCUACUCAGAAAAUGAGCAAUUCUGGACCUCCUUAGUGAAAAAGUAGUGCAAGGCAACAUCAGAGCAGUUGCCAAGUGAUCUUCUCCACAGCACCCAUGAACAUCAGCCUUGAACUGAGGAGGACUCAUCAAAUGCCUUAGGAGCAUGGAAUUGGAAGAGAAGCAGGGAUCUCCAUAAAGGGCAGUCAGCUACAGUCUUGGUGUGUGGAGGAACAGGUCCUGUUUUCGCUGUUGUUACUCCCACAUAGGCGGACUCUGUAAUUGAUUAUGUGUGGGUAGGGCCCUAUUGAAAUUAAGGAGAUUCUGCAAUAGUGCAGGGUUCUUUCUGUGAAAGAUCAGUUGCAAGAUCAGGACCCUACUGUGACUCCUUACUGUGAAUUCUGUCUGUAUCAUUGAUUGUGCUGGAACCUACCUUUUGGGAUAAUUACCAAAUAAUAUAUUCCUCAAAACUUCUUAAUGGCACUGAGACUUUGUGGAUAGUUGGUCACAUGAUGAGAAAAUUCAGCUAAGAAAAAGAAAGAUGAAAAACAAUACAGUGAGCAAAGGAGAAAUAAUAGGGUAGACAGGGAGGAAUCAGCUGCCAUCUCUUCUGAAGCUUUUCGCUUGCUACUUCUCCUCUCUGACCACCCUGCCUUCCAUGAGAGUAUUGUCCUAGCUUCUGAUGAGGAAGAUUGCUGAACUUUUCCUUUGAUGCUGAUACCAGUAUUUCCUGUGAGAGGCAGUUACUGUAGUGAAGACAGAAGAAGAAGAAUGUGUCACUUGUGAUUUUUUUGAAAAUGGUUUUGAAUAGUCAAGAUUUGGCCUUCAUAUAAAAUGUGCUGGUUUCCUAAUGUACUUGUAACUUAAAGAUGCUUGUAGAAAUGUAAAAUCAAAUGUGAAGAACAUAAAAUCCAUAUUAAAGACAUUAAAAUGUGA